rnacentral:rRNA from 1 species
GAUGAACGCUAGCGAUAGGCUUAACACAUGCAAGUCGAGGGCAGCACGAAUUAGCAAUAGUUUGGUGCGACCGGCGCACGGGUGCGCAACACGUAUACAACCUACCUUCAAUUGGGGGAUAACCUGGAGAAAUUCGGACUAAUAUCCCAUAGUAAACAGAAGAGGCAUCUUUUUUGUUUUAAAGAUUUAUUGAUUGGAGAUGGGUAUGCGUAGGAUUAGCUAGUUGGUAAGGUAACGGCUUACCAAGGCGACGAUCCUUAGGGGUUCUGAGAGGAAGGUCCCCCACACUGGUACUGAGACACGGACCAGACUCCUACGGGAGGCAGCAGUGAGGAAUAUUGGUCAAUGGUCGAGAGACUGAACCAGCCAAGUCGCGUGAAGGAAGACGGCUCUAUGAGUUGUAAACUUCUUUUGUACAGGAGUAAAGUAGACACGUGUGUUUUAUUGCAAGUACUGUACGAAUAGCAUCGG